rnacentral:lncRNA from 1 species
AUGCUACCCAAAUUCAAUGGCGGCAGCAGGAGCUCUCUAUGGCAGUGGUCCCCAACCUUGGGACAGGAGAAUGCCAGAGUAUGCACACUCUUACACCACACAGUCCUACCCAAAAUGCAGGGCAGGAUGUUUCCUUCCCUUUCAAAAGGGGAGAACGGGCAACAGGGCUACCAAUUUACAUCAGCCAUUUGUUGCUGUCUGCAAUCUGAAGAAGAAAGUCAAAGGGACUGCAAAAUGAGUAAGACAGACCACGUGUAGCCUGCGAGUCUCAUGUAACCCACUCCCUCUGCAAUAAUGCAAGCACUCCCCAGCCUGAACAGGUUUAGGUUUUUGGUGGGAGGGCUGCCCCCAUCACUCUAGUCUGCCAGUUGUUCUGAUAAUAUGAAGAACAAAUUGCAGAGCCUUGUUCUCAGUGUAUACAUGGCAAAAAGAAGCUUUAUCUCAAUUUCUGUUUUAAAAAAAGGCAGUUCAAAGGCUAUCUUCUGGGAGGCAGCCAUAAGGCCGUCUUAACCAGGAGAUAACCAGGGAUCAGUGUUACGCUGGUAUAGGUCACAAGACUGCACCACCAGAGACCACAGUGUGAAGCAAAGCUGAUAAAGUAGACAUCGUGGAGGGAGGGGCCCCAAGUGGGGAUGCAGCUGCUCUGCAGUAUAGACUAGUCCCUUUAAAAAAAAAACAACCCCACUGACUCUCCCCUCCCCUGAACCCCAGUGUUUUCUGCUAUCUCAGAAACUACCGUAUCCACACCAGAGGCUUAGAGCAAUGUUUUCCUACUUCUUCACAUAAGAUACUGCAAGACCAAGGGGAAGGCCCCUCAAGUAUCUUCAAUACUGCAUCAACGUAUUGGGCCAUAUAAGUAGACAAAAGGGGGAGUCAUAGCUAGGAAGUAAGACUUCAAGGACCAGAGUCCUUGCCAGUGUCCUCAGCAAAACAUAGUAGAAGUACAUAAGAGAUGCUAAAGAAACAGCUGGCAACCUGGGUCCUGGUAAACUUAAGCAAUGUGUCCCAAACAGAAGUUUCAAGUGCAUGUAGGACUGUAAGCACAACACAGGACUAUCAAACAGGGCCACAAGCUGAACAGAGGCAGGCAGAGAUGGCUUCAACUAAACGCUAACUUCCACAAGAAAAUUAAAACCUUAAAACUAAAGAUUCAUUCUGGAACCCUUUAAAAAAAGGCACUCACUAGUGUUUCUGCCACCUCUGUAGCAACGUUCCUGUGCUGUUGUUCCACAAAUGUAUUUAUAAUGAGUGAAAAGUA